AGCAGCAUGGCGCAGAGGUAGCGCGCAGGGCCCAUAUCUCGGAAACUCCAAGUUUCUACGGUUGGAAACCCUGAGGUCACUCGAUCGAAACGAGUUGCUGCUA